rnacentral:rRNA from 1 species
UGAGGAAUCUUGCGCAAUGGGCGAAAGCCUGACGCAGCGACGCCGCGUGGAGGAUGAAGGUCUUCGGAUUGUAAACUUCUGUUAAGUGGGAAGAAAGGUUUGUCUCUAAUAAAGGCAAAAUAUGACUGUACCAUUAGAGAAAGCACCGGCUAAACUCGUGCCAGCAGCCGCGGUAAUACGAGUGGUGCAAGCGUUAUUCGGAUUUAUUGGGCGUAAAGGGUGCGCAGACGGUAUGUUAAGUCACCUGUUAAAUUCUCUGGCCUAACCAGAGGCAUGCGGGUGAAACUGGCAAACUAGAGGGUGGAAGAGAGAAGUGGAAUUCUCGGAGUAGCGGUAAAAUGCGUAGAUCUCGAGAGGAACACCAAUGGCGAAGGCAGCUUCUUGGUCCAUUUCUGACGUUCAUGCACGAAAGCGUGGGGAGCAAACAGG